UAUCUUAACUGCGUUUAGUCGAAAAGAAAAUUAGUUUGCGAUAACUCUGUAUUUUUAUCAGUGUGACGCGUGCACUUGAAUACUGCUGUCCAUGAGCGUUAAAGUCGAGCACAUGAGCAUCAGUACUAACAUAGAGAACAACAUGCAAGCAUACAAGUCAAACGAAAGAAGCAAAUAGUUGUUUAUAUUUUCAAUUUUUUGUUCCAAAAUAAUAGUUUUCUCAUAUUUUCAGAACAAUCGAAAAUUUUGUUGUACUGUUGGAUCUUUGAACAUAGGUGCUUUGUGUUCAAGCAUUGUUUUGGGUUGGCCAACUCCGGCCUUUACGUAUCUAUAUGGUCGGGGCGACUUUUCGGCGUCAGUUGUCUAUUUAGACGGAGGAUGGAUGGAAUCAGCGAUGAAUGUGGGCGCGACUAUCGGCAGUCUAUCUUCAAUUUUCCUCACUGACGUUUGUAGCAGGCGAGGGUCCUUUUACCUCUCGGCCGGCGUCCUCAUCACUUUCUGGAUUUUCUUGGAGACCUUGGGCUUUGAUCAAGUAUUUAUUAUUUUUGCAGCUGGCCUGGCGGGGUUUGCUGUGGGAAUUUAUUCUGCAACAUCUAUAUUGUACAUAGCCGAAACCUCAUCUCCCAAGAACCGUGGCAUCGUCGGAGCGGCUAUGAUAUUAUUCGUCUACUUGGGAGUUUUCAUGGUCAAUUUGUUUGCAUAUUUGAUGGACAUUAAAAUGCUGUUAAAAGCGAUGGCAAUACCACCAAUCAUCUUCGUGAUUGCUAUAUACGCUUGGAUGAUUGAAUCACCUUACUAUCUAUUUCAGCGGGGUACUCGAAUCAAAAAUAUCCUUGAAGAACCUUCGUGAUCGCAACACAGUUUUGGAAAUUGACAAAGAGUACAGAUCAAUGGUAGCCUUUUUUAAUUCCCGGUUUUUCAAGAAGCCUAAACAGCUUAUGCUUGAAUCAUUAUGUCCAAAUGGUCUUCGUCCUUUAACUCUUAUAAUUUUGCCCAUUCUUUGUAUGAGCCAAAUGAUUGGUAUUACUGCCAUAAGUGACUAUGCACAGAUCCUCAUUAGGAAUGCCUAUAAGGUUAGUGGGAGGCUUGUAACCUCCUGCAUUGAUGUUUUCUCCAUCAUUCUAUGCAUGUUUGCAAUCGAGAGAUUUGGAAGAAAAUUCUUAUUACUUCUUACGAUUUUCGGCUCAGCACUAUGUUGUUUGACUCUGGCCAUUUAUAAUUUAAAAAAUGAAGACCAGUGUCGGCAGAAUCUGCUCCUGGCAGAUAAUAAGAUAUUACCUAUGACUAUUCUCUGUACAUAUUACGCAAUUUAUGCGCUUGGCUUUAUCCCAGUAUUUCCUAUAGUUGCCGGAGAGAUUUUUCCUUGCCGAGCUAAAACAGCUGCGGUUGGUAUGUGUUGGUACGUCGCUUCUGUACUUCAUGUCUUUUUGCAUAGAAAGUUCUUACAAGGUGUUGAACGAUCAUACAAAUACGUGCCUAGCAUCUAUCUGCUUUACAAUAUUAGGAUCCAUAGGUUUGCCCUUUGUUAUUAUUCUGAUGCCAGAAACCAAGGAUAAGAGCUUAGUACAGAUACAAAACGAACUCGACAACAUAGCCAUGGUUAAUUUCUGAUGGCAACAGAACAGCGAAACCAUACAGAUAGAAAGUACUCUAGAUCUCUUAUUUAUUUUGGAAUACAGAAGAAUAAAUCAUAUCUUUUUAGCAAAAAAGUGUGUUUGCUACUUUUAAAAUUGUUAUGGAAUAGUUAUCACACAAUUAAAUAAAAAUGUCUGUUUCGAACGUAGUUCGAUAGAAGACAAUUUCGACACGAUAUUUGAUAAGUUAAUAUUUUUUACCGAUCAUAUAUUAUAUAGAUUUCAGGAAAUAAACAUUUCACGUACAAAUUGUUAAUUGUAUCAUUGACGCAUUUACUAUACAAAUAAUAUUUAUCAGAAUCGUAUUAUAUUUUUGUGAUAAAACACCUUUUCAAUUAUUAGUGUUCGUGCAAAAUGAUAAAUUCAGAAAAAUAUAUAUUCAUGUAUAACAAAGCGAUGUACUUAUAUUAGAUCAUAUAUACUAAAUGCCAGAAUUAUGCUUAUCAUGGAUACUAAAAGCUAUAGAAAACCAGAGAAGAGAUUAAGACGCAAAGGUGCACACAAUAAUAUCGGAUUAUAAAAUAAGCAUACACAUACCGUGCAUCAAAAAAGAGGAAAAGUGAAAAAUGCGUGAAACUCACCCUUUGAAGCUGUGGGGGGACGAAUACAGUCGACAGCGCGCGCGACGUGCGGCAAGAGGACGAGAGGUGCACAAAGACGAUGCAGAUAUAUAAGGAAAACAUCAAAAACAUCCACAAAUAUUUGUUUUUAAAGAAAAAUAAAAAAUUGUUGGGUGAAUAUGAAGUAGUUAUCGUGAAUGUCAACAACGCUUCUCUUUGUAAUAAAGAUUGAAAAAAAUAUAAAAAACAAUGGUAUAUUAGCAUGACA